UUAAAUGUUGGUUAAAUGUUAGCAAUAAUAUAAAUAAAUAUUUACGAAAUGAACUUACAUGAAAAUAGUUUUAUAACCAUUAAGCUAGUUAAGUAAAGGAGAAAUACAUUUUUAUAGGUUUUAUUAUCUGUGGAUUUUACAAUGAUUCACAGUUUGUUUAUCAUCAACCAUUCAGGUUUAGGAACUUGUGUUUGAUUGCUGUGGAUGGCAGACGUUUGUGGCUGUUCAAAAGACAUCAGGCCAUGGAAAAAUAAUAAGUUUUAUUAUUGACUGAAGAAAGUAACUGGGGACAAGCCUUUUCUCCUGAAGACAUUCCUCUGUUGUGAAAAAAUACUUUGGAAAAAUUUGCACCCUUGCUGGCCAAAAUCGGCCAAAGAUCAUAUUUUCACGUAAAGUUUGCACUAAUAUUGAGCUGUACAAUUUUCUGGGAGAGGUCUCACUGGUCUGUUUGCAACAUUGAAGAAUGUCCGAAGUUUUUUCAUGAGCAGUUGCAAGGUCAACAAAAUGGUGACAGAAACGAUAAAGUCACGAGCUGUAGAAGAAGGCAUUCGUGCUGUCAGACGGAAGCAAAAACAGUGAAGAAGUGGAGGUUGUUGAAACUUUUAAAGAAUUUCCUAAGUUCGAUGUAUUUACCUUGGAUAAUACAGAAUUUAUAGAGUUGCCUUCAACGAAUGAAAAGUUACUUCAUGGAUGACGAACGUUACGAAUCUAAAGGUGAAAGAACGGAAUAUUACCCCGACUAUGAAAAGGAGUUUGUAAAGAUGCGUUCUGGCGGCCCCCAUAUGCCUUCUGGUAGUGGUGUCUCCCCUUAAAUCAUUCGUGGGUUGUACUUCAUUACAAUACACAAAGUGCAAAUAAACCAGGCGAUGCGAAAAUACUUAGACGUGCCACAUUUUGAGAAAUUUUGAUAUAAAGAUAAUGUUCUUGU